GGUCCGUAGCUCAGUUGGGAGAGCGGGGCGCUCUGACCGCCCAGGUCGGUGGUUCGAAUCCAUCCUGCUGCA
rnacentral:tRNA from 1 species